UUUUUGUCUCCAUUAAGAUUUGAACAUAAGUUAAUGGCGUUUGGUAUCCGUAAUUGGCUCUUUAAUUUAAAGUACUACGAAUCUAAGGAGAAAGAAAGCAACUGGAACUUAAAGGUAUCUUCUUACCAGAUCAUCACCGAGGAAGGUGGCUUGCCGGAGAUGCUAUCAUCUUGCCGGUGCUGGUGACGGUGCAGGAACACGUGGAGUUCAUAAUUGCCGGUUGAUCUCAUGAAUGAAAAUGACGUGUUUGACGGAGGGUGGGGAUGAAACUCAACGCUCACCGGAAGUGUGACGUUCAAAGGGGAAAGAGAGAAUGAAAGGGACUGAUAAAGUAGCUGAUUGUGACA
rnacentral:lncRNA from 1 species